AAAGGCUUAGUGGCGGACGGGUGAGUAACGCGUGGGUAACCUGGCCCAUACAGGGGGAUAACACUUAGAAAUAGGUGCUAAUACCGCAUAACAACAGAAAGCGCAUGCUUUUUGUUUGAAAACCAAGGUGGUAUGGGAUGGACCCGCGUCUGAUUAGCUGGUUGGCGGGGUAAAGGCCCACCAAGGCGACGAUCAGUAGCCGGCCUGAGAGGGUGGACGGCCACAUUGGGACUGAGACACGGCCCAAACUCCUACGGGAGGCAGCAG
rnacentral:rRNA from 1 species